GGUAACUCUCAAAGUAAACCUAAGGGUAAAAUAAAUUUUUGUGACGAUGUUGAGGACAUCGGAAACAGAGUCGAUGAUCUCGACUUGGGCCUAUUUACUAUUGCCUAUGCCAAUGAUGGGCCUAAACCCAAAAGUUUUACCGCUGAGGUAGAAAUUAAUAAUGUUCCAGUGAAAAUGACUAUUGACACAGGGGCUGUCGUGUCAGUCAUGCCCCAGGAUGUAUUUUCUACAAUUUUUGGUAACUCAAGUCCGAAAUUAAAUAAAAGCAGUAUCACAUUGAAAACUUAUACAGGCCAUAAUAUUAAUAUUAUCGGUGAGUUUCAGGCAAGCGUACGCUCUGGCAGCAGCGUUCACAAAUUACCUAUGAUUGUUGUACGAAAUAAUGUGCCUAACCAACCUACACUAAUGGGUCGGAAUUGGCUCGAAGUAAUUAAACUUGACUGGACCAAAGUGGGACAAGGAAACAAGUUGGACUGCGGAGCGAUCCUCGACAACGGUAAGACUGUUUCAAUCACUACUAGGAUUAAUGAGCUGAAAUCAAAAUAUUCUUCUGUUUUUGAAGAUAAAAUUGGAACUAUCAAAGAUGUAACAGUCGAUUUGGUAUUGAAGGAAAAUUCUAAUCCCGUGUUUUGUAAAUCAAGAACUGUACCCUAUGCCUUAAAGGGUGCGGUAGAAAGUGAACUCCAGAAUUUAGUUAAGAAUGACAUAAUAUAUCCCGUAACUAAGUCAGUAUGGGCUACCCCGAUCGUUGUAGUACCAAAGCCGAAUGGCAAAAUUCGUAUUUGUGGGGACUACAAGACUACAAUCAACCCGCGUUUGCGCACGGACCAUUACCCGUUGCCAACACCGGAAGAGAUUUUCUCGAGUAUUUCGGGUUCUAAGGUUUUUACUAAACUGGACUUGUCUGCGGCAUAUAACCAAAUUUGUGUCAGUGAAAGUUCUCAGGAACUUCUAACAAUCAAUACCAGUAAAGGUCUCUAUAGAUAUAGAAGAUUACCGUUUGGAAUCACUAGCGCUGGCGCUAUCUUCCAAUCAACUAUGGACCAAGUAUUAGCAGGUCUAAACAAUGUUUUUUGUUAUUUAGAUGACAUUUUGAUUGUAGCUAGCAAUCAUUUGGAGAUGUACAAAUAUGUUGAUCAAGUACUAAAUAGACUUAUGCAAUACGGUGUUAAAAUUAAUGGCGCUAAGAGCGAAUUCUUCAAGAAUAGUUUGACAUUUCUUGGACAUAGGCUAGAUGCUAAUGGUAUCCAUCCAAGUGAAGAGUUAACGGAAACUAUCACCAAGACUCCUCAGCCCAAAAAUGUUACCCAGUUAAGAUCAUAUCUAGGCCUUUUGAAUUACUACGGUAAAUUUCUGCCAAAUCUGUCGACCUUGCUACACCCGUUAUAUCAGUUAAUAAAUAAGAGUGCCAGAUGGGAGUGGACGAAGAAGUGUGAGGAAGUGUUUAUCAAAAGCAAGAAUCUUUUGCUUGAGAGUACUGUACUUAUCCCCUUUGACCCUAAAUUAGAAAUCAUUGUGACGGCUGAUGCAAGUCCUUAUGGCGUAGGCGCCGUUGUUGCCCACCGCAUGCAGGAUGGCUCUGAGAGGCCAAUAGCAUUUGGUUCUCGAACCUUGACCCCAUGUGAAAUGAAAUAUUCACAACUGGAAAAAGAAGCGCUCGCCUUAGUCUUCGCUGUGAAGAAGUUUCAUGUAUUUUUGUACGGUAAACGUUUCCUUCUGGCUACCGAUCAUAAGCCUUUAGCGUUUCUGCUGGGGCCUAAUAGGGGAAUACCUACUUUAGCUGCGGCUAGGAUUCAAAGAUGGGCAAUUAUUCUUUCAGCCUACGAGUAUGAUAUAGAGUACCGUAAGGGUACCAAUGUUUCGAAUGCUGAUGCUCUGUCCCGUUUGCCUUGUACAGAUGAAUCUAAUUGCGGUGACAACAUCUCAUUCUUCUCUGUAACUUCUGAGUUACCCAUAACCCACAAGGAGAUCAGCAUAGCUACACGCUAUGACCCGAUUUUGUCCAAAGUUUUAGACUUCACUUUGAAUGGGUGGCCUAAUAAGGUGGCCGAAGAUAGCCUAAAACCAUAUUUUUCCCGAGCUAUGGAGCUGUCUGUAGAUCAAGAGUGUCUUCUAUGGGGACGAAGAGUCAUUAUCCCUGAACCAUAUCGGAAGGAAAUAUUAAAUCUUUUACAUACAGAACAUCCAGGUGUAUCCCGCAUUAAAAAUUUGGCACGCAGCUAUGUAUGGUGGCCAAAUUUAGACCGAGAUCUUGAAGAACUUGUUAAAACCUGCACUGUUUGUCAAUCUACUCGGAACUCAAUACCUCUGGCCCCAUUACAACAUUGGUCAUGGCCUAAGCAUCCCUGGCAGCGACUCCAUCUUGACUUUGCUACCUUUCAAAAUAAGGAGUUUUUGAUCAUUGUUGACAGCCACUCAAAAUGGCUCGAAGUAUUCCAUAUGAGUUCAACAACAUCUAGUAAAACAAUUGAGAAACUCAGGUCAUGUUUUGCGGCAUACGGACUGCCUUCAACAGUUGUUACUGACGGUGGACCUCAACUUACUUCUAAGGAGUUUAACGACUUUUUAAGAACAAAUGGAAUCACUCAUGUUGUAUCCCCACCAUACCAUCCUUCCUCUAAUGGAUUGGCGGAGCGAGCUGUGCAAACAACCAAGAACACAUUCUUGAGACAGCUGUUGCAGGACGAAAAAUCAGGAACAACUCGUUCUCUACAACAUCGAAUCGACAACUUCCUUUUUGUGUAUAGGAAUACUCCUCAUUCCACCACUGGUGUUUCGCCAGCUGAAAUUGUGCUUGGGUUUAAACCUAAAAAUCACCUUGACUUGCUAAAGCCUCAUUUGAGUAAGAGCGUAUCUGCUAAAUAUGAAAAGAUUGAGAAAAAUGCAAAUGAAAGGAGGGGAACAUUCCGUUCUUUUUGUGAGGGCGAGAGUGUAUUUGUAAGGAGCGUUAGGCAAGAAAAACUCAAAUGGUUGCCUGGUAUUAUCACUAAGGUUAAUAGCCCAGUCACAUACGUUGUCAAAGUCGAUGGGAGGAAUCGUUUUGUGCAUGCAGACCACCUACGCACAAAUCAGUGCAUUCCAGAUGAGGAAAAUCUUGUACUACCAAUGCCACCUGUUUUACCUAUGGAAGCAACUGCACCUAGCCCAAUGAAAACACCUACACCAAGCCCAGCGAAGACACCGCAUAGGCCUAUUACACCCAACAUUAAAUCAAAGGAAAAUCAAUCUCAAGAACUUGAAGCAGAUAGGCCUAACCCGGAAAUAAGAAAGCCUAAUUCUCCGUCUGUGACACUACGCCGUUCUCAGCGAGAACGACGCGUACCCAGGAAGUUGGACUUGUAAAAACAAGAAAAGUACCUCCCAAAAGAAGUCAUUAAUUUUUGAGUUUAUUUACAUAACGAACAGUUUGAAGUUUAUUUUUUUUAACUUAUUUUGUUGGGAGGAGUUAUUAUAGCCUAAGUAAAGACAGUAAUGUGUUUUAUAUAUAAAGUAAAUUCUUAUGUCAGAAGAGACAUGUUUUGUUAUAUUGGCACGCCGGAGGAGGCGCAUAAACAAUAGCAUAUUCAAAAGGGGCAAGGACAAAGUCCAAGAUUCAAUACCCCUCCAUGGGACGACAAGACGGAGGAGUCAGUCUACUACGAGUCGCAGGUGGCUAUGUUACGAUCUGUUGGAGGGAACAGUAUUCUAAACACAACGGCCAGAGUCCUUAAAAGGAUAAUGACGAAUGAUGUUGCAGAACGUUACAGCCUGUUAGGGAGAAAGAAAAGUUCGUUCAAGCAACUUGCUCUCUGCAAAGCAGUUCUCAACUUAGUAAAACUCCAACUUAAAGAGGCUACGGUAAAAGAAGUGGACCAAGUGAUAGCACGAUGGCUUGUCCAGGCUAAAACAAGAAGGUUGAGAAAUUCUAGCAAGGCUCUGGCGGGUGAAAAUGUUGUAGCAGAUGAAAAUGUUGUUGUGGCAGAUGAAAAUGUUGUUGUGACGGGUUAAAAAAACAAUAAAC